UGGUGAGACCUCAGCUGGGGAGGCCGCACAGCACACUGGACAUGCUCACCACUAUAUCCAGCAUCACCUGCAGCAGGGUUAGAGCAGAGAUCUGCUGUCAGGGCUACGUCUCCCUUACUGGUUUACUGACUCCAAGUAUGACUCAGGACCAGCAGAAGCAACACUUCCCCACCAGUCAACUAAUUUUGGACACUCAGAAGGGAAGGAAACCCAGAGAUACUGAGAACUGUGACCUACGUAGCCUACUGGGGAGGAGAGGAAUAAAAAAAAUAAAUAAGUAAAUCACAUUCUAACUCUAGCCUGCCACUCAGAAACCCUUUUAGAGAGGAGUUGUGAACCCCAUGCCUCAUUUUCCCCAGCUAGAAAGCUCCUGGGGACUCACCUCACGAUACGGUAGUGCUGCCUGGGUAAACCUGCUUAAGGGACUUGCCUACUGCCAACAUGUCCCAAGUGGCACUUGCUAGGUGGUACUUAUCAAGUCUGAAUCUUCACAUUCCUGACUCCACAUGGGAUAUUUCCACAGGGCCAUACCACUACUACAAAUACUCGUUCCCCUCCUGCUCACCCACUCUGUUGCCUGUUGCAAAGAAAAGCCUUUGGGCAGGUAUGAUGUAGGUAAAGAACCACGAAUGUCUUGAGAUCUUCCUGAAAAUGCCAGUAGCCCUACGUGAUGCUAUGUUUAGCCACUUUUCUCCAAGGCCUUUACAUCCUGCUACGCUGGAUGCACCUACCUGGGGUAUUUCCUAGAACAAGGGAACACCAGAAAAUGCAGCCAGACCAACUACAGGAAACAGGCACCCAGAGACAGAGGGGAUAAGUCAUGCCCCAGCUCCACACCAGGGGAAGAACACAGCCAGCUCUGGAGAAACCACACUGAUGUGUCAGAGGCAUUCCCUUGUCUGUGCUCAAAGCGUGGUGACCA